rnacentral:rRNA from 1 species
GACGAACGCUGGCGGCGUGCCUAACACAUGCAAGUCGAGCGGGGUCCAUCCGGUAGCAAUACCGGGGAAGACCUAGCGGCGAACGGUGAGUAACACGUGAGAAACCUGCCCCCGAAGUCUGGGAUAACCCGAGGAAACUCGAGCUAAUACCGGAUGUCUUCUUCUGAUCGCAUGGUCGGAUGAAGAAAGAUUUAUCGCUUCGGGAGGGUCUCGCGGCCUAUCAGCUAGUUGGCGGGUAACGGCCCACCAAGGCGUCGACGGGUAGCUGGUCUGAGAGGACGAUCAGCCACACUGGGACUGAGACACGGCCCAGACUCCUACGGGAGGCAGCAGUGGGGAAUAUUGCGCAAUGGGCGAAAGCCUGACGCAGCAACGCCGCGUG